AGGACGAACGCUGGCGGCGCGCUUAACACAUGCAAGUCGAACGGGGUGAGGUUUUCGGACCGAGCCCAGUGGCGAACGGGUGCGUAACACGUGAGCAACCUGCCUGGUUGUGGAGGAUAACCCGAGGAAACUCGGGCUAAUACCGCAUGAGCUCAACGGGUCGAUUGGCCUGUUGAGGAAAGCUCCUGCAAGGGAGUGCGACCAGAGGGGCUCGCGGCGUAUCAGCUAGCUGGUGGGGUAAUCGGCCUACCGAGGGCGACGACGCGUAGCCGAU
rnacentral:rRNA from 1 species